rnacentral:lncRNA from 1 species
CUGUGAUGUGUUCGCUGUUGAAGUUUUGACAUCAUUUGCAUCUCUUUCAUGACUGGCAUGUUUACUAGUGUAGAUAGUGUAGCCUGGAUGCCUGGGUGCAACCCGAUCCUGUGGUGUUUGCUUGAGCCUCAUGUUGCUGUGGAUUUUCAGGUUGACUGACGGUCGGUGUUGUGUGGUUCUGAUCUUCAGAGAGACACCAGGAUGGCAACUGAAGGGGCCACAGAGAAGAGAGCCAACUUGGUGGCAUCUAAAGUCAUGUGGAGUAACAGGGAUGACGUACCUAUGUCAGCACCAGAACGGUCACAUGGCAGUGACAGAGCUGGAAUCUGUAGACAGAACAACGUCCAACAGUGGCUUAGAAGUCAUGAGGCGGAUGCAAAACCAGACCACACCAGAGAAGCUGCAGCAGGGCUUCUUAAGAGGAACGCCAGCAGUGAGGAUGACUUAGCGUUGGGCGUCGAAGGUAAAUAGAUCUUUCAUCUUGUAGUCGUUGUUUUUAGGGUGACAUGAACACCAGGUAGAACCGAGCCGAGGACAGAGGAGUAAGUUAAAAACAGGUUCUGUGGUUUUAAAACAUCUCAAUGAUUUAUCUACUGUGUGCUCAGAGGAACAUUUGAGCUGUCUGAGAGUGGGUACACAAUGAGAAAAAUGUUGCUGAGGGCUGGUGUAUUUAGGUGAGGGGGUAAAAUAUUGGCAGAGGAGAGGUGGUGUCUGUACUUCUUGCUAAUCUCAAGGCUGAGCAUCCAGCAGUAGACAGAGGGAGGGACAGUUAAGACCAGGAUGAAAGUCUUAGAGACUGGGAGAAGACCAUACCAGACCUGGGUUCAAAUAGUGGUUGAAAACCUUCAAAAUACUUUGAGCGUUUGCUCUAGCCUGCCU